rnacentral:rRNA from 1 species
CCUAACACAUGCAAAGGUUCCGAAACGGGUUAACAGGAAAGCAGCUUGCUGCUUCGCUGACGGAGUGGCGACGGGUGAGUAAUGUCUGGGAAGCUGCCUGAUGGAGGGGGAUAACUACUGGAAACGGUAGCUAAUACCGCAUAAUGUCGCAAGACCAAAGAGGGGGACCUUCGGGCCUCUUGCCAUCGGAUGUGCCCAGAUGGGAUUAGCUUGUUGGUGGGGUAACGGCUCACCAAGGCGACGAUCCCUAGCUGGUCUGAGAGGAUGACCAGCCACACUGGAACUGAGACACGGUCCAGACUCCUACGGGAGGCAGCAGUGGGGAAUAUUGCACAAUGGGCGCAAGCCUGAUGCAGCCAUGCCGCGUGUAUGAAGAAGGCCUUCGGGUUGUAAAGUACUUUCAGCGGGGAGGAAGGGAGUAAAGUUAAUACCUUUGCUCAUUGACGUUACCCGCAGAAGAAGCACCGGCUAACUCCGUG